rnacentral:rRNA from 1 species
AUUGAACGCUGGCGGCAGGCCUAACACAUGCAAGUCGAACGGUAGCACAGAGAGCUUGCUCUCGGGUGACGAGUGGCGGACGGGUGAGUAAUGUCUGGGAAACUGCCUGAUGGAGGGGGAUAACUACUGGAAACGGUAGCUAAUACCGCAUAACGUCGCAAGACCAAAGAGGGGGACCUUCGGGCCCCUUGCCAUCAGAUGUGCCCAGAUGGGAUUAGCUAGUAGGUGGGGUAACGGAUCACCUAGGCGACGAUCCCUAGCUGGUCUGAGAGGAUGACCAGCCACACUGGAACUGAGACACGGUCCAGACUCCUACGGGAGGCAGCAGUGGGGAAUAUUGCACAAUGGGCGCAAGCCUGAUGCAGCCAUGCCGCGUGUAUGAAGAAGGCCUUCGGGUUGUAAAGUACUUUCAGCGGGGAGGAAGGCGAUAAGGUUAAUAACCUUGUCGAUUGACGUUACCCGCAGAAGAAGCACCGGCUAACUCCGUGCCAGCCGCCGCCGUAA